rnacentral:rRNA from 1 species
AGGACGAACGCUGGCGGCGUGCUUAACACAUGCAAGUCGAGCGAGGCUCCUCCUUCGGGAGGAUGCCCUAGCGGCGAACGGGUGAGUAACACGUGGGCAACCUGCCCCCAGCACUGGGAUAACCCCGGGAAACCGGGGCUAAUACCGGAUACGACUUCGGAAGGCAUCUUCUGAAGUGGAAAAGGUUACUGGCUAGGGAUGGGCCCGCGGCCUAUCAGCUUGUUGGUGGGGUAAUGGCCCACCAAGGCGACGACGGGUAGCCGGCCUGAGAGGGCGACCGGCCACACUGGGACUGAGACACGGCCCAGACUCCUACGGGAGGCAGCAGUGGGGAAUAUUGCACAAUGGGCGAAAGCCUGAUGCAGCGACGCCGCGUGAGGGAUGACGGCCUUCGGUUGUAAACCUCUUUCAGCAGGGACGAAGCGAAAGUGACGGUACCUGCAGAAGAAGCACCGGCCAACUACGCGCCAGCAGCCGC